GACGAACGCUGGCGGCGUGCCUAAUACAUGCAAGUAGAACGCUGAAGAGAGGAGCUUGCUCUUCUUGGAUGAGUUGCGAACGGGUGAGUAACGCGUAGGUAACCUGCCUUGUAGCGGGGGAUAACUAUUGGAAACGAUAGCUAAUACCGCAUAACAAUGGAUGACACAUGUCAUUUAUAUGAAAGGGGCAAUUGCUCCACUACAAGAUGGACCUGCGUUGUAUUAGCUAGUAGGUGAGGUAACGGCUCACCUAGGCGACGAUACAUAGCCGACCUGAGAGGGUGCUCGGCCACACCGGGACUGAGACACGGCCCAGACUCCUACGGGAGGCAGCAGUAGGGAAUCUUCGGCAAUGGGGGCAACCCUGACCGAGCAACGCCGCGUGAGUGAAGAAGGUUUUCGGAUCGUAAAGCUCUGUUGUAAGUCAAGAACGAGUGUGAGAGUGGAAAGUUCACACUGUGACGGUAGCUUACCAGAAAGGGACGGCUAACUACGUG
rnacentral:rRNA from 1 species